CGUGUAGGCGGCUUUUUAAGUCGGACGUGAAAUCCCUGGGCUUAACCUAGGAACUGCGUCCGAUACUAUUGAGCUCGAGUGUCGGAGGGGGUGGCGGAAUUCCCGGUGUAGAGGUGAAAUUCGUAGAUAUCGGGAGGAACACCUGUGGCGAAGGCGGCCACCUGGAAGACAACUGACGCUGAGACGCGAAAGCGUGGGGGGCAAACA
rnacentral:rRNA from 1 species